rnacentral:rRNA from 1 species
AGUGAACGCUGGCGGUAGGCCUAACACAUGCAAGUCGAACGGCAGCACAGUAAGAGCUUGCUCUUACGGGUGGCGAGUGGCGGACGGGUGAGGAAUACAUCGGAAUCUACUUUUUCGUGGGGGAUAGCGUAGGGAAACUUACGCUAAUACCGCAUACGACCUACGGGUGAAAGCAGGGGAUCUUCGGACCUUGCGCGAUUGAAUGAGCCGAUGUCGGAUUAGCUAGUUGGCGGGGUAAGGCCCACCAAGGCGACGAUCCGUAGCUGGUCUGAGAGGAUGAUCAGCCACACUGGAACUGAGACACGGUCCAGACUCCUACGGGAGGCAGCAGUGGGGAAUAUUGGACAAUGGGCGCAAGCCUGAUCCAGCCAUACCGCGUGGGUGAAGAAGGCCUUCGGGUUGUAAAGCCCUUUUGUUGGGAAAGAAAAGCAGCAGGUUAAUACCCCGCUGUUCUGACGGUACCCAAAGAGUAAGCACCGGCUAACUUCGUG